AAUGCGGGACUCUAAGAGGCCCCGUAAUUGGAAUGAGUACACCUUAAAUCGUUUAACGAGUAUCAAUUGGAGGGCAAGUCUGGUGCCAGCAGCCGCGGUAAUUCCAGCUCCAAUGGCGUAUAUUAAAGUUGCUGCAGUUAAAAAGCUCGUAGUUGGAUCUGGGGCUUGAGGUCGCUGUCUAUCGUUUCGGCGAUGACGGUGAUGCUCAGCUCUGCUUGCCGGUGACUGUUGCGGUGUUCUUCACUGAGCGCUGUAGCAGCACGGCACGUUUACUUUGAAAAAAUUAGAGUGCUCAAAGCGUGCUUGUCGCUUGAAUAAUGUUGCAUGGAAUAAUGGAAUAGGACCUCGGUCCUAUUUUGUUGGUUUUCAGCUUGAGGUAAUGAUUAAGAGGGACGAACGGGGGCAUUCGUAUUGCGGUGUUAGAGGUGAAAUUCUUGGAUCGCCGCAAGACGGACUACUGCGAAAGCAUUUGCCAAGAACGCUUUCAUUAAUUAAGAACGAAAGUCAGAGGUUCGAAGACGAUCAGACACCGUCCUAGUUCUGACCAUAAACGAUGCCGACCAGCGAUCCGUAGUGGUUGCUUUAUGGACCCUACGGGCAGCCUCCGGGAAACCAAAGUAUUUGGGUUCCGGGGGAAGUAUGGUUGCAAAGCUGAAACUUAAAGGAAUUGACGGAAGGGCACACCAGGAGUGGAGCCUGCGGCUUAAUUUGACCCAACACGGGAAAACUCACCCGGUCCGGACACCGUAAGGAUUGACAGACUGAUAGCUCUUUCUUGAUUCGGUGGAUGGUGGUGCAUGGCCGUUCUUAGUUGGUGGGGUGAUUUGUCUGGUUAAUUCCGAUAACGAACGAGACUCUAGCCUGCUAAGUAGUGUUGCUAUUGUUAUAUGGUUGACACUUCUUAGAGGGACAAGUGGCAUUUAGCCACGCGAAAUUGAGCAAUAACAGGUCUGUGAUGCCCUUAGAUGUCCGGGGCCGCACGCGCGCUACACUGGAGAAGUCAGCGUGUGUUAUCCAAGUCCGAAAGGACUGGGUAAUCCGUUGAACCUUCUUCGUGCUUGGGACUGUGGCUUGGAACUAUUCCACAUGAACGAGGAAUUCCUAGUAAUUGCAAGUCAUAAGCUUGCGUUGAUUACGUCCCUGCCCUUUGUACACACCGCCCGUCGCUACUACCGAUUGAAUGGUUUAGCAAGGUCCUCGGAUCGUGGCCGUAGGGGCACGCAAGUGUUUCUGCGGUUUGCGAGAAGACGACCAAACUUGAUCAUUUAGA
rnacentral:rRNA from 1 species